rnacentral:lncRNA from 1 species
GAUCCAAUUAAAAACGGUAUACCAAUACAAAACAAUAGAAAAAACAGUUUCAUGCAUCAAUAUACCAAUUUCUUUUUUUUAAUGGCUAAUAAGAUAUUAUAUAAAAAAAGGAGAAAUAUACAACUGAGUACAACUCAGGUCUAAGAGAAGCACAAAGCAACUACAAUAGCCAAAUGCAAAAGAAAAGAAAGAAAAAAGAUAUAGAGAAAAAUACAUGCUAGGAAAAACCAUCCAAACAACCAGAAGCACGAAAGUCGAAAACCAAACACCACCACAAAACGCUAUAAGUUUCAACAUAAGAUGAGUUCCACCUCCCAGUCAUAGAAGGAGAGCGGCGCCAGACUUCUUACAAAGGAAACAUAUGAUAGAAAAGAUAUUUUAUGUUUAUGAUAUCCCUGAAUGAAGGUGGACAUUGACAAUAUAUUUGGUUAAUUGUAGUUACAUCACAAGUUUGAUGAUGAAGUAGUAACACUAAUACUAUUAGUAUUACUAUUACUACUACCACCAUAAUUUGAAGGAAGCAUAAUAAGAAUGAUUUCAUCCUCUCUACUCUCUGACUUAUGCUGAUUGCUGAAAUUAAAACAUAUAUGUAUCUUUUAGUUGAGUCCAUCUACCCAACCAUUAUCAAAGACUAGUUGUAAGUAAGGACACACAUGUCUUUUUCUAUGUCAAAGUCUUUAUGAACUAUUAUUAUUCCACAUAUAAAAACAAGGAUUUCUUUCUCUACACUUAAUUGGUGCUUAAAUUGUCUUUCCAUUUAGAACCAUACAAUACACCUAUACAAGAUUAUUAUAUAUCCC